ACCACCUCACUCCAUUUCUCCUGCUCAUUUGCAAGGGCCUCCGACUCGGGCCACCUCCUCAGAGCUGACAGAGCAGGCUCCGAGAGAGCCACGGGGUGACUGAAAGGAUGAUCUUUGGAAUUUUUCCACUUCCUGUCCCUCUCUGCAUUCCAGUGUCAACAGUGACACUGCAGAAGAAUAUGCUGCCCUUGCUGCGGUGUCCCAGGGCCUCUGGCCGUCUGGGCUUUGAUUAUGGUUGCGGGAACAGCCCCGUGGGGAGAUGAUGGGAGGACUUUCUGUCUCCUCCUUCCCAUUCUUUUUUUUUUUUUAAGAUUUAUUUAUUUAUUUUGAGAAUUUUAAUAUUUUUUAGUUAUUGGCAGACACAACAUCUUUUGUUUGUAUGUGGUGCUGAGGAUCGAACCCGGGCCGCACGCAUGCCAGGCGAGCGCGCUACCGCUUGAGCCACGUCCCCAGCCCCUCCUUCCCAUUCUUUUCUUCGAGCACCUGAGCCUGCUCAGGAAGACGCAGCGGAGCACACAGACUCCCGAGGCCCACAGCCCAGUUCAUACCCUGGAUCCCCAAUGGCGGCCAAUGAGAUCCUUGCUUCCAACCCUUGGCUCCCUCCUGAAGAUACCGGUGGAAGCCACGGUCCCAGAAGGAUCAAGGUGGAGCCGGCGGACCCCCCUGCAGCCUGGAGAUGCCACCCCAGGACCCUGUGGAGGCUGGCAGACUUCUGUAAAGGCAGGAGUCCCUCUCACACCCCUCGCUCAGACACUGCCCACGACACAUGAGCCUGUAUCCAGUGGAGCUUUCUUCACCGAAUCGGAACUUGAACUUCCCAUGUCAGUUGCCCGGGCUGCACAGUAUCCCUCUUUUCGUGUUUGUGUCUGAUUAAAGCCAGGGCCUUGCUCAUGCUGAGCCUGCUCUUCCACUGAGUACAGCCUAGCCCUGAAAUAGCCCUCCUUAGAUUUUUUUAAACACUUUUUAAUAUUUAAAAACAUAUCAACCUUGUGUUGAGGAUAGAGCUCCACCGUAGAGUGCUUACCUAGCACGUGUCAGGCCCUGGGUUAGAGUCCCAGCACUGCCAAAAAACAUAAAUAAUAAUAAUAAUAAUAAUAAAGGAAAACAUGAAGAAUUCUUAGCUCAUGGUUUGCCCAGCCUUGCUCAGGUUCAUGAAAUUUCUUGGUUAUAAAACAAACAGGUGCCUGGAGCCUUCUGAUUGUGCAAUCUUGGAUAGACCACUUUAUUGCUUCUAAAUCUCGACUUUCUCGUCGUAAGGAGGAGACAAAUAGAAUUCUUCUCACAGAAUAAACUAAAUAAAAUACAGGAAAUGUC